GACGAAGGGGGCUAGCGUUGUUCGGAAUUACUGGGCGUAAAGCGAGUGUAGGUGGUUGUCGUAGUCAGGCGUGAAAGCCUUGAGCUCAACUCAAGAAAUGCGCUUGAUACUGGGCAGCUAGAGGACCGGAGAGGAUAGUGGAAUUCCCAGUGUAGUGGUGAAAUACGUAGAGAUUGGGAAGAACACCAGUGGCGAAGGCGGCUAUCUGGACGGUUUCUGACACUAAGACUCGAAAGCGUGGGGAGCAAACAGGAUUAGAUACCCUGGUAGUCCACGCCGUAAACGAUGGGUGCUAGACGUUGGCGGGCUUGCCCGUCAGUGUCGCAGCUAACGCGUUAAGCACCCCGCCUGGGGAGUACGGCCGCAAGGUUGAA
rnacentral:rRNA from 1 species